CUCCCCCAUUCAUGCUCUGUCUCUCUCUGUCUCAUAAAUAAAUAAAUAAAUUAAUUAAUUAAUUAAUUACAAAAGAAUGAUGGAGAGGGGUAUGGAACCAGAUUAUGGAGGGAUUUUUAUGCCAUGUUUAGGAUCUUGAAUUUCUGUCUCUUUCUAGGCUUUGGGAAGCCAUUGAAGACUUUUAAGCAGGGACCUGAUUUGGUUGUAGUUAGGUUUAAUAGAAUACUCUGGUAGCUGUUUUGAAUGAUAAAGUUAAGGGGAAAAGAUUGGAGGCAGGGAAGGCAUUUGUGAAAUAGUUGGCUAAACAAGAGCUGAUGGGGGCUUAAAGUGGGCUGUGUUGAUAGAAAUGGAGAAAAGGGAACAGAUUUCGGACUCCUUUCAUUUGUUGUUGGUAAAUUGUAAAUUCGUUAGAACUUGGUACUUAGAAAUGGCCGAUGGGGGAGAAGUAGACAAGUUUAAGUCCAGAGUUCCUAGCUGGGGCAACUGCAUGGAUAAUGAUGAUACCAAACAAAGAGAGAAUACAUGAGUAAGAAUCAAUUUAGAAGGUAAGGAAACUAGUGUAGGGUAUUUUGAGAUGGUAGUAAAAUAUCUAGUGUGGGAGGUCUAACAAGGCAAUUGACCUUUUGAAUCUGAUGCUGUGGGAUGUGACUGGGGACUCUGGGAUAGAAACCAUGGGACCAUAUAUAGUAGAGUAAAUGGGCUGAGAAGAAAAUAAAAGAAGGCAAAAGACAAGAUCUUGGGGAGCAUAAAGGUUUCAGAGUCAAUCAGAGAGAAAGAAGCCCUACAAAGGAAAGAAGGAGCUAACCAAAAACAGAUGAAUCAUUGAGCCAGCUUGUGGCUCUCAGCCAGCUGAGACUAGAAACUACACACUUUUAAUGGAACAACUCAAUAUAGAUGUGAUUUGCUUAGAUGCCGUCUAUAGCCUAAAUAAGUGAUGGAGAUCAGAAUGUAGUAUUAGUCUAAGACUGAGAUUUUACCAGGCUGGUACAGUGAAAAGUUACGAGUUUAGGGAAAUUAAGGUGUUGAAUUUAGAGCAGUUUAGAUGAUAAGCUAUGACAAAUGUUGCAUAUUAUGUGCUAUGCAUUAUUCUUUAUAAAUAUUAACUCAUUUAAUCCUUGCAACCAGCCUGGUAAAACCUCAGUCUUAGAAUGUAAGUUCCAUGAAGCCAGGAGGUUUAUUUUGUAGUCUGUCUGUAUUCUCAGUGCCUGUAAUACAGAAUGGGCUCAAAUGCUUGCUGAAUAAGCAUAAAGAACAUUAUUAUACAGAUAUGGAAACUGAGUAAGGAGAGGUUAAUUAAUUAAUGCUAUUUAGUGGCAGAGGUAGUAGGCAAGGACAUGAGUCUAGGAGAGAGAGCUGGUCAAAAACUUGAGGGAUUCUAGGACUGAAGCACUCUAUGGGGUAUAGUAGAAAUGAAGGCAGGGAGAUACAGAAGAAGAGGAAGUCUUGUCAGAGAGUUCCAUGUUGGCGUUUACAGUUUGUUGAGUUGGAGAUUGUUCUGGGUGACGACAAAGGGUCAGGUCUUAGGAAUAGAGUUGAGUAGAAGAUGUUCAUUGUUGAAGUUCUGUGGGUGUAUUUGUAGAUGUUGAAAGAUUCUAAGAAUACAAUAGAGUUUGGGUAGAAAGGAAGAUUAUGAUACAGUCUUUAAUAAAUAAAGAGGUGUUACAUGGGGAUGUGUAGAUGAGGAACAAUAGUGGAACAGAUGAAUGUCAUUUGGAUAAUCUUAUUGGAAAACUUUGAAAGUACUCAGAAUAUAAAUACAAAUGUUUAAAAUUUUGCCUGGUAUUGCAGCCACACUUAAGAUUGAAUUCUCUGUGUUACAUUUGUCCUCUACAAAAAAAUCUUCCAUGCUUUUCUUAAUAGAGUAGUGGAGCUAAAUUUUUUAAUUCAUAGCAGCACAGCUUCACCGCUUUUUGUUUGGUAGCUGUUGAGUACACAUCCCAAAGAUGAUAAAAACAAAAUUCACUUGCUCUUCUAAAUCUUCUGCACUGCCCAGUGCAUUGUCAUUUGUUCCCAGUUCUCUUGCUGACCCUUUUACCCUCCCCCGCCCCCAAGUCUCUUUGAAUGCUUUUGUUUCUCUUGAGAGCUUUCUUUCUACAUUACAUUGUGGCAGAGAAAAAAGUAAAAUUUAUUUUAGCACUAAAUUAUGGUUAACAUUUUAAGUUGAACAUUUUCAGAAUGUUUGAAUCAAUGUUUGAACAAUUAAUUCUGUUUCAUUUUAAAAAGAUUAUUCAAUCUCCUAUUUCAUUUACUUUAAAAGGCUCUAAUUUUUUUCAUAUAUUCUGAUAGCAUUGUAAUUUCUGUCCUUGAGUAUUUUCCUUCAGAAAAACAUAAAAACCCAGUAUAUAAGAGUGUGUUAAACCAAAAAUUUAAUUAUUUAUAUUAAAGCAUAGACUUGGAAUUAAAGAAUUUUUCAUUUUGCCAUUGUAUAGUUGUACCUGCUGAUCCUUUUGUGGGUAUAUGUAUGUGUCUUUCCCACAAAUAAGUAUCACCCUCUGAAUAGCUGUUAGGAAAUUCACAGUUAAUCAAAUAUCUUACAAAGUAUGUUUGUACAAUGAAAAGGUUGGAAGAGAUGAUUUCCAAGGUGCCUUUUAGAGCGGAUAUACUAUGUUUUGUGGUUCUCCAUGCUUUGCCCACUUCAGAUCUUAGUAAGCAGCCGCCGAAAUACUGCUACAUGACCUUUGACACAGAACCCAUGAAUGCAUCAAGUAUGAUUUCACUCUCACCUCCUUCUUUGUAAACCUAAAUGCUUGUCAAAUCAGAUGUGCGUUUAGAUCUUUUUGUUGAAUGUGUCUUGAGGAGGAGAACAAAGCUUGGGGUCAACCUGGCAUAAUCCCGUUUAUCUUUUUCUGUUAUAGAGAUUUGUUGGGGGCUGGGGUGACAGUCCUUUCUGAGGAGAAGGUGCGAAUGGAGGUGGACUUGCCGUCUUCAUACUUUCCCUGCAGCCUCACUGGGCCCUAUUGAUUUCCUAUUGAUUUUAAUAAAAGCAGAUUAGGUGGGUUCCUGGUUGGUACUUCUGGUUCCCAUUUGAUCCAAGUACCCUGUUAUAGGCACAUUAACUGACAAAUUAAAUCAAGGCACUGUAUUUGGAAAUAUCUCACUUUUCCGUUAUCAGUAAAUAAGAGUAGAUUGUCUCAUAGUGGUUAAUAUCAUAAGAGGUUUUUCAUGUGUUCAAGUAUGUGUAUAGUAUGUAUUAAUUAUGCUUUUCUGUAUAAAUUUUGUCAAAUCUAAAAUAGAAAAUGUGUACUUAAAUAUACUUAAGUAAAUAUUUAGUAUUAAGUUAGUAUUUCAGUUUUACAGUAAUGAAAAUUGAAAAUUUGCGGAUCUUAUUCUUUUUAACUUUCUCAGGUUCUGAUAAUCUGUUUGAAAAUUAAGAAAAUGCUUAAGUUCACAUGACUUUUAGUAGCAGAAGCUACUAAAUCUUACUGGUUAUAAUUGAUUAGGAGCCGUGAACAGUCAUUAAUUGUUAAAAUAUGAGAAGGUUGUAGGGAAUCAUAUGACAAAAGAACCAGUUACCUUUACAGUUUGUUCUCUGUACCUCAGGCACUUUGUUUCAGAAGAAAAGCUCCAUUCAGCGCCUGGCGUGAAAAGACCCUUACCCCCUUUUAGAUGAGGAUUGUAGGAAAUUUCUUGCUAACUUGGACAUUUACGCUUUUUCAGGGUUAUUUGGAACAUACUGAGCUGGAGUUAUGGAAUGCUUGAGAACUUAACUAAUUUUUUUUUUUGGUUGUUUUACUGAAUCAGUGCUUAGUGAUUAUAUGGUCUUUUAACAGAUUUAAUAAAGAAAUAUAGAAACUUAUUAAUGAAAAGUAUUACGGGAGGUGAUGUCCAAUAAUUUUAAUAUUGUAGAACAUAGAAAAUCAAAGUAUUUAAAGAUCUGUCUAGACUUUACUCGAAGAUAGAAGAUUUUUCUACCAAAAGAAAGUGUUUGGAUUUUAAUAAUUUGGUGGGUGGAGAAGUGAGUUGUGGAGGUGGUUAAGCCAAGAUUAACCAGUAACAUGCUAAAUAUACAAAUCCACAAGCAUUUCACUAAAUGAUUUAGGCAUUUUUGUUGACUGGUCUUUUCAUUUACAGGGCUUUGAAGUCACUCCAUUUAUCUAUAAAUUCAUUUAGCUGAAGAUUAAAGCAGACAUUGUGAUAUAUGAAAACAGUUUUGGAGUUUCAGUUUAAAUUCUCAACUGGCAAUUGGCCGAAAACUCCCAUCAGAAGACGUGAGCAUCCAAAUGUCAUUUUGUGAUUUGGCUACUGUCUGCUUGAAUAGGAAGGCCCUAUCAAGAAAAACUAAUGGCGUGAUUAACUAUCAAAAGAAAAUCAAUGGAAAAUCUUUAACUUCCACCACAAGAAGAUUAAAAAGAGGUCCCUCCUGCACCAAGAAAGAUCUGCAGAUCUUUUUCAGUGUUCUUGGAGGUGUGGGGUGUGAGAACUUGAUCAGUUUGUGCAACCACCUUGUUCUCUAAAGAGUGGCCGCACCAGUUUGCAUGCCCACCAGCAGUGGAGC